rnacentral:rRNA from 4 species
UACGUAGGUGGCAAGCGUUGUCCGGAUUUAUUGGGUUUAAAGGGUGCGUAGGCGGUCUAUUAAGUCAGUGCUGAAAUAUCCCGGCUUAACCGGGAGGGUGGCAUUGAUACUGAUGGACUUGAGUGCAGUCGAGGUAGGCGGAAUUGACGGUGUAGCGGUGAAAUGCUUAGAUAUCGUCAAGAACACCGAUAGUGAAGACAGCUUACUAGACUGUAACUGACGCUGAGGCACGAAAGUGUGGGGAUCAAACAGG